rnacentral:rRNA from 1 species
GUCCACGCCGUAAACGAUGGAUACUAGCUGUUCGGAGCAAUCUGAGUGGCUAAGCGAAAGUGAUAAGUAUCCCACCUGGGGAGUACGUUCGCAAGAAUGAAACUCAAAGGAAUUGACGGGGGCCCGCACAAGCGGUGGAGCAUGUGGUUUAAUUCGAUGAUACGCGAGGAACCUUACCAAGGCUUAAAUGUAGAUUGACAGGUUUGGAAACAGAUCUUUCUUCGGACAAUUUACAAGGUGCUGCAUGGUUGUCGU